rnacentral:rRNA from 1 species
UACGGAGGGUGCAAGCGUUAUCCGGAUUCACUGGGUUUAAAGGGUGCGUAGGUGGGUUGGUAAGUCAGUGGUGAAAUCCCCGAGCUUAACUUGGGAACUGCCAUUGAUACUAUUAAUCUUGAAUACCGUGGAGGUUAGCGGAAUAUGUCAUGUAGCGGUGAAGUGCUUAGAUAUGACAUAGAACACCAAUUGCGAAGGCAGCUGGCUACACGAAUAUUGACACUGAUGCACGAAAGCGUGGGGAUCAAACAGG